rnacentral:rRNA from 1 species
UAGUUUUGGGUUGGGGUGACCGCGGAGAAAAACCAAACCUCCACGACGAACGGAACUAACUCCUAAUCUAAGAGCCACUACUCUAAGAAUUAAUAUAUUAACAUAAAAUGAUCCGAUAAUCGAUCAACGAACCAAGUUACCCUGGGGAUAACAGCGCAAUCCAUUUCAAGAGCCCCUAUCGACAAAUGGGUUUACGACCUCGAUGUUGGAUCAGGGUAUCCCAGUGGUGCAGCCGCUACUAAAGGUUUGUUUGUUCAACAAUUAAAACCCUACGUGAUCU